rnacentral:misc_RNA from 1 species
GAUGAAGAACGUAGCGAAAUGCGAUAAGUAAUGUGAAUUGCAGAAUUCGGUGAAUCAUCGAGUCUUUGAACGCACAUUGCGCCCCCUGGUAUUCCGGGGGGCAUGCCUGUCCGAGCGUCAUUGCUGCCCUCAAGCACGGCUUGUGUGUUGGGCCGUCGUCCCCCUCCUAGGGGACGGGCCCGAAAGGCAGCGGCGGCACCGCGUCCGGUCCUCGAGCGUAUGGGGCUUCGUCACCCGCUCCGUAGGCCCGGCCGGCGCUUGCCGACGACCAUCAAUCUCUUUCUCCAGGUUGACCUCGGAUCAGGUAGGGAUACCCGCUGAACUUAAGCAUAUCAAUAAGCGGAGGA